GGGGUAAGACUGAAAUGAGGGUAGAUUUUCGAACUCAGCCACUCAUCGUAAUUCAGUGUUUCAAAAUGUUAACGGUGCUGGUCGCUGUUCUCAUUGCAACCCCCUGAAGGACCUGUCUUUGCAACAACCUCACGUUCCAGAAUGAAACCCAGAAGCCCAUCACCAAUGGGAGCCACCAGGAGUGGAACGCUCAUACAUCUUCCAUCUUUCCUACAGAUACGGAGAAAGGGACACACUGCACGGCCCACAGCUACGAAGUUAUGAAAUUACCCAAUCAUGAACAGAACCUCUGAAAUUGUGAGCCUAAAAUAAACUUUUCCUC